CUAACUAUUGAAAAUUUUGGAUAUGGAGGAAUGACCUUAAUAUUGGGAAAAGAAGAAGAAAACAGAAGAACAACAGAUGGGUUCCUGAGACCUGAGACAAAUUUCCUCUACUUCUUGAUUUUGCCUGCAGGCAAUUCCCUGUGAGAGUGGAUGAACUGGUGGCCCAAUGUAAUCACAAGGGUUUCUUAAACUCAGAAGAGGGAGGAAGAAAAGUCAGGGUCAGAGUGAUGUGAUGACCAAGACUUCACAACUACUGCUGGUUUUGAUGACAGAAGAGCACCAUGAGCCAAGGAAUGCAGGCAACUUCAAGAAGCUGGAGAAGGCAAGAAAAUGAUUCUCCCUUACAGCUUCCAGAAAGAAACACAGCUUUACUAACACCCUGAAUUUAGCCCAGAUCCAGCUGCGAACAUUUUCAGUGCUGCAUAAGUCAAGAAACCAGAAGACCCCGAUGAGGCCACUCCUUGAGAGCUCAAGGAUGAACAUCUCCAAUUGGGCAGCAAUUGCUGCACAUUCACU
rnacentral:lncRNA from 10 species